rnacentral:rRNA from 1 species
AUGAACGCUGGCGGCGUGCCUAAUACAUGCAAGUCGAGCGAACAGACGAGGAGCUUGCUCCUUUGACGUUAGCGGCGGACGGGUGAGUAACACGUGGAUAACCUACCUAUAAGACUGGGAUAACUUCGGGAAACCGGAGCUAAUACCGGAUAACAUGUUGAACCGCAUGGUUCAACAGUGAAAGACGGUCUUGCUGUCACUUAUAGAUGGAUCCGCGCCGCAUUAGCUAGUUGGUAAGGUAACGGCUUACCAAGGCAACGAUGCGUGGCCGACCUGAGAGGGUGAUCGGCCACACUGGAACUGAGACACGGUCCAGACUCCUACGGGAGGCAGCAGUAGGGAAUCUUCCGCAAUGGGCGAAAGCCUGACGGAGCAACCCCGCGUGAGUGAAGAAGGUCUUCGGAUCGUAAAACUCUGUUAUUAGGGAAGAACAAAUGUGUAAGUAACUAUGCACGUCUUGACGGUACCUAAUCAGAAAGCCACGGCUAACUACGUG